UGAGGGAAAGGCGAAAAGAACCCCGGCGAGGGGAGUGAAAAAGAACCUGAAACCGUGUACGUACAAGCAGUGGGAGCACAGGUUUACCUGUGUGACUGCGUACCUUUUGUAUAAUGGGUCAGCGACUUAUAUUCUGUAGCAAGGUUAACCGUAUAGGGGAGCCGUAGGGAAACCGAGUCUUAACCGGGCGUUAAGUUGCAGGGUAUAGACCCGAAACCCGGUGAUCUAG
rnacentral:rRNA from 1 species